GCAAUGGUGGUUCAGUGGUAGAAGUCUUGCCUUCCAUGCAGGAGACCCAGGUUCGAUUCCCAGCCAAUCUA
rnacentral:tRNA from 1 species